rnacentral:rRNA from 1 species
UACAGGGGGGGCAAGCGUUGUUCGGAAUUACUGGGCGUAAAGGGUCUGUAGGUGGCCAACUAAGUCAGACGUGAAAUCCCUCAGCUUAACUGGGGAACUGCGUCUGAUACUGGAUGGCUCGAGUGUGGGAGAGGAAUGCGGAAUUCCAGGUGUAGCGGUGAAAUGCGUAGAUAUCUGGAGGAACACCGGUGGCGAAGGCGACACCCUGGACUCAUACUGACACUGAGGUGCGAAAGCGUGGGGAGCAAACAGG